AACAAAAUUAUUUUUUGACAAAAGGAGAGUUUACUUUGACAGUCAUACAAUUUUAGGAUAAUCACUUUGCCCAGGUGCAGAUGGAUCUCAGGUAUGUAAACCAGCUAUUUAUCACAGUACACAUUUACUAUAUCUAAAUAAUUACUUCUAACAACUGUCCUGCUCUGUGAUUCUGCAGUGAAGCCAUAGCCUCCAGGCUUAGCAUCACGCAGCUGCCACAGAAACAAUUUUAGAUGUCACAGGCUCAUCUUGAAUUCACUCGAGGCAUUUAGAUAAUGAAUUCAAAUGUCAAGGAAAAAAUCAUCAACGUCAUGAGAACUUCAAGGCUGGCUAUAUGUAACAGAAAACUGAAGAAAACUGUAGGAUAAAGGCUCCAGGAAACAAAGCUGCUGCGACUCCGAGAGUGGAGUGGAGGGGCCCUGCAGGCAUCUUUUUCUGUAACUACAUGACUGUGAAGUAUUCCAGGAUGAAAAUGUUCAAUUCCUUUCUGAGUCAGCCAAAGCAUGACGAAAUUCUA